GCACCGAAACUUUCCCAUUCCUUACUGCGCAGUGUGGGACUGGGGAUACAUGGUGCUGACAGAAAAGCAGAGUAAAUCCAGACAAGUGACUCGUCACUCAUUGAGUUCCUGUCUCUACACCUCUGCAACAGUU
rnacentral:snoRNA from 1 species